CAUAUACACUAAAGAAAUAUAGAGUACGUCUUUUCACAUAAGCCCAUAUUUCUUGGUGGCCUUGUUCAUUACUUUUCACUCUUUUUUCUCUAAUCUUGCCUUCUCAUUUUAU